GGCGACAUAGCUUAGCGGUAUAACGCGAGAGUUAACGCUUUCGCGUGCCCAUAGCAACUGAUUCGUAAUCAGUAGGUCGGGGGUUCAAUCCCCCCUGUCGCCUCCA
rnacentral:tRNA from 2 species